rnacentral:rRNA from 1 species
AUUGAACGCUGGCGGCAUGCUUUACACAUGCAAGUCGAACGGUAACAGGUUAAGCUGACGAGUGGCGAACGGGUGAGUAAUGCAUCGGAACGUGCCCGGUCGUGGGGGAUAACGCAGCGAAAGCUGCGCUAAUACCGCAUACGAUCUAAGGAUGAAAGCGGGGGACCGUAAGGCCUCGCGCGAUCGGAGCGGCCGAUGUCAGAUUAGGUAGUUGGUGGGGUAAAGGCUCACCAAGCCAACGAUCUGUAGCUGGUCUGAGAGGACGACCAGCCACACUGGGACUGAGACACGGCCAAGACUCCUACGGGAGGCAGAAGUGGGGAAUUUUGGACACUGGGCGAAAGCCUGAUCCAGCAAUGCCGCGUGCAGGAAGAAGGCCUUCGGGUUGUAAACUGCUUUUGUACGGAGCGAAAAGGUCUCCGCUAAUACAGGGGGCUCAUGACGGUACCGUAAGAAUAAGCACCGGCUAACUACGUGCCAGCCGCCGCCGUAA